UACGGGGGGGGCAAGCGUUGUUCGGAAUUACUGGGCGUAAAGGGCGCGUAGGCGGUUCGCUAAGUUGGAUGUGAAAACUCUGGGCUUAACCCAGAGCCUGCAUCCAAAACUGGCGAACUGGAGUACUGGAGGGGAAAGCGGAAUUCCUGGUGUAGCGGUGAAAUGCGUAGAUAUUGGGAAGAACACCUGAGGCGAAGGCGGGUUGCUGGGCUGACACUGACGCUGAGGCGCGAAAGCCAGGGGAGCGAACGGG
rnacentral:rRNA from 1 species